AGCAGCCGCCGCGGGAAAACGGAGGGUGCAAGCGUUAUCCGGAUUCACUGGGUUUAAAGGGUGCGUAGGCGGGCAGGUAAGUCAGUGGUGAAAUCUUCGAGCUUAACUCGGAAACUGCCGUUGAUACUAUCUGUCUUGAAUAACGUUGAGGUGAGCGGAAUAUGUCAUGUAGCGGUGAAAUGCUUAGAUAUGACAUAGAACACCGAUUGCGAAGGCAGCUCACUAAACGCUCAUUGACGCUGAGGCACGAAAGCGUGGGGAUCAAACAGGAUUAGAUACCCCCGUAGUCCCUGUCUCUUAUAC
rnacentral:rRNA from 1 species